GGUGUCCCAGGAAUUCUGGAGGUGGCACUCAGGGCUCUGGGCUGGGGACAAGGUGGGCAUCAGGCACAGCUGGGACUUGGUGGUCUGGGAGGGCUUUUUCCAGCCUCAGGGAUUCUGUGAUUCUGUAUUAUUAAUUAUCUUUUAUUGAGCAUUCCUGUUCUCCUUCAAAAAACAUUUCUGUUAGAGAUUAGGAAAACUGUGAAGCGACAAACAUCAGAGUUAGUGUGUUGGAACGACACCUAAGUACGAAACACUACAGGAACGUGCCCUUACUACAGUAUUUUAUGUAGUAAAUGUAUUAGAAAAACAAACAAUUGCUACAGACUUGUGAUUUGCAAAGUUAAAUAAGUAAAAACCUGCCAGUGUCACAUUUCAAAGAAUCAAAGAAUCGUUAAGGCUGGAGGAGAGCUUUCAGAUAAUCGAGUCCAGGCAUCAACCCAGCACCAUGGCCACCUUUCAGUGCUGUCCUCAGGUGUCAUACCCACGUUUUUUGAAACAUAUUUACCCCCUGGCACUAAUCAGGGAAUGACCUUUAGGAAGUCCUGCACACGGGUUACACGGGCUGGAAUGAAGUUACCACCUGAAGUCCUCCAGAUACAAAUGGCUUUUUCUCCUGGAUUUUUGCAUCUUGAUUUUUAUUGACUCAGCUCUCCUGCUUGCUGGAAUUGAAGAAGAAAGCAAGGAAGGCUUUCAGCAGCUCCCAGCCAUGAAGGAGAACUACAGAGUUCACAUGCUUGGCUGCCUUUUGUUGUGAGAACAAACACAGCCCCAAAAUACAGGUUACAGAUGAGCCCGUAGUAAACAAUUAGGAAAGUUGGAGUUAAAAAAGGAGAUAAAAAGGCAGAAAACAUGAUUAAAGUACUGAGCUGGGAGAUUCAUUAGUGUUGCAGACAGAUAAGUAAAUUAGAGCCCUGCAGAAAUUAUUUGACUGGCAAAUUAAUUACACAAUAUUACAAUGGCUUUGCCAGCCAAAUUUAGCCCUCGGGAAGCAGGUAGGAGUCUGCCUGACUUAAUAAAAGGAGCCUUGGCUGGUCUGCAGCUUAAUCAGAGAUGAAAAUUAACAUCUCAGGAUUUGAGGCACACGGAGGCUCCAGCCAUCGGGAGGCCAGGCUCCAGCACAAUUACCAGGUUACAGUGGCAAGGAAGCUGGCCAGGCAGCAGGAUGCUCCUGCCUCCUCACAGGCCUUCAAUUCACUGCCCUUCCUGGGAGAGCAAGGCAGGAGCUGCUCUGGAAACCCACAUGAGCCUCGUUAGGCAGAUCGCUCAACGGGACACUUUACAUCUGCUUAGAGAAUGCCUGAUUCAAAUAUUUCACCUAACCCUUAAGAGCUCUCGCUGUGUCCCCAGUGAGCAGAAACACUUUAGCUUUGGAAAUACAUAUUUAUAUCCCUGGAACACGUCACCUUCCAUGACAAGCACCAGACAACACUCAUUAUCCACGCUGAUCCACAGCAUCAUUUCAAACAUGAAGACCUCAGCAUCGCUGCAGAUAUUAAAAAAACAAAACCUUUCCUGGGCUUUCCUGCCCCCAGACGUGGCAGUGGCUGGGGUGGCCACCCCGAGCCUGGCAGCACUUGCCCCCCCGGGCCCCGCUGGGGAGCAGUGGAGGGGCUGCAAUAAAUCCACUUCCCUCUCCUCUCCUGUGUGCCAGGCCGGUGGGAUUGCCUGCUGGAAGAGUGGCCUCAUUUAAUGGGGAUCUGACUGAUAUCAAAAUUGACUUGGUUUCCCAAUGAUAUCGUGUAGCAGAAUGUUGUGAGCUGGAAACUAAUAUAUUUCUUCUUGCUUGUCACAUCAAUACGGGCUAAUUUUGUUGGCUUUUGUAUUGAACAAUCUGGUGAAUGUACAAUCCAGUUUUGAUUUCUCUCUUUAUGAUGCCUCUUAUUAUUAAAGCUCCCUCAACCAAAAAACAAUGUAUUUUUAUUUACUGGUAAUAGUAAUGGGAUUCAAUUUUUGCCUCAGUUUUAAUCUAGUUUCUCCAUAUUGAAGAACCAGAUCGCAUUUAAUUAAAAUUGAACAAAAUCCAGUUUUUGCUCCAUUCCUCCAGUGUGAAGGCUGAGCUUCAUUUUUGCAUAGUUUUAUUUAAUACUACUCUUCUCAAAUCAGUGUUUUUUACUCACUGUGCUUCAGGUGUUGCAAAAAAGACCAAAUUAUUUAUUGUGCACGAUUAAUUGCCUGUUUGUCCAUGACUAUUCCAUUUUCAGGGAAGGGUGAGUGUACAUUUUUGUACCACUGGGCGUGUGUCCAUCCUACACUUGUGCUGGAUUCCAGCUGAGCUUUGCUGGAAGCAAAGAAGUGCUGAGAGAAGGAAAGAGGAGCUGAAGCUUGGAGACCCUCGAGGUUGUAGGAUCAGGGAAUCCCCAAGUGGGUUGGGCUGGAAGGGACCUUAG